ACUCAGUUCCUGCCUGGGACCAGAAGAGUAAGGAAGGAUACUUCUUGCUAGAGCUCAAGGGAGAACCAGAGGAUGGGUUCUGGUGUCACUGGCAUUCAGCGAGGAAGAAGAGGAAUUGAGAAAUUCAGCUUUGAGGGCAGUUCAUCAUCCAUUGGAGACAUUUUAUUUUCUUGAAACUUGCCCACCCCGCCUUUCACGUCCUACAGCAUUUCCCUUCAAAUGAGUUGUCUCUGCUCAGCUGCUGACCCAAGCUGUGCAAGGACAAUACCUCGUUAUCCAUUUCAUUGAGGAACAACCUUGGUGGAGGCAGGUGACUCGUGAUCAUUUGGCUGACUCAAAACCAGCAAGCUCUGCAGAAAGGCUUACAGGGUGAGAAGCUGCUGUAGAGAAGGACUGUAGUCUGUUAAAAUUAAGUUUUUAGUCUCUAAAAUGGCAAUGGGAACUUAUGAGGUUUCCACAAAACCACCUGUGUGCAGUUUGUUCCCAGUGUUCUCCAAGGAAACAGGACAUGUGUAUGCUUUCUACAUAAACUACCCGAAGAAAAUACUGGACUCCACAUCCUAAACGGGAAACUAAUUCACCAAGCCCCAAAAUAUGAUUUUUACUCAGUACAGGGCACUAUUAUUUAAGUAUUUUCUUUAACGUGCUUUUCCUUAGCUUCCCAGGCUUUUCAUAACAUUUUAAAAUACAUCAGAUCAAAGAAAUACAAAUCCAAAUUGAGAAAGAUGCGGCAACUUAAUCAACCCCUUUAUAUUGAAUCAGCCUUCAAAGUGACUCCCUCCCCCAUCUAUUGCACCCUGGCAGAGGGCCCUGAAUAGUUUUGGGUGCUGAAAAAAAAAAGAACAACAACUACAGACACCCAACCAUUUCCCAACUUCUGAAAAACUAAAUGGGCCUUUCUUAUUAUUUAUAUUUCAGCAACACCUAGAAAAUCCAAAUGAGAUGAAGGCCCAUUGAUCAAGACCCUGUACAUACACUAGUAAGAGAUGUUCCUUGCCAUAAAGAGCUUACAAUUAAGUAGACAAAACAAAAGGUUGGGAGGAUAAAGAAGAGCACAGACAGGUGGAGUGACUUGCCUACAGACAUACCGCAGGCCAGUGACCGAGCCAUGUCUCCUGAGACUCAUGCACCCAGUGCCUAAGCCACUGAACCAAGCUGCCUUGCAGUGUGUCCAGGAAAUCACCAUAUUUCUGGUUUGGACAGGAUGUUGAGCUGGGGGUAGGGGGGGGGAGGUUUGCGUUAUGGACCUAUGUAGCAGAUGCUCUGCUACCAUCAUUCUUUUAAACUGCUGUUAGCUCAGUAGCCUCUGAUUACAACAGUGAAGAUAUUACACAGGAAGAGCUAUGGUCUCUCAUGUAACCAGUUCCAUGUAUAUAUUUUUAACAUAGUUGAAGCUUGCAACUAUGUUGUUUAAUAUUGAGGGUGGAUUUGUUUUUUGUUUCCACAUUGCAUGUUACAGGAAAUGUGUUUGAUAUCCCCAUUUGGUGAGCACAGGUCACAGACUAGCGCGUGUGGGUUAGGUCAAAAAAUGCUGUAAUGGUACAGCAAUGUGACAACAAAGGUCCACUUUGUGCCACUUGUAGGUAGAAAUGGAUCCUGGAGAAUUCCCCCCUAGUCAGGGGACCUCUUUGCUGGUGGAAGCAGGUAAUCUACCUCCUCACAAGCUGCCCUCCUCCUAUCACUGAUCUAUAUGGCAGGAGAGCUGGGGUUGAAAAAAUGACUUGUUCACACACAGCUGAGGCUGGUAUUAGGCUUCUUUGGAAACCUGGCCCCCAAAUAACAAAUCUAUUAAAAGAAAAUAAUUAAAAAUCACCUCUGACUUUCAGUAAUUUCCCUAGAGGCUGCCAGGUUUCCCAUGCAACCGUUCUCUGUUCUGAUUAAGGUGUUAGUAAUGCCAUCAACACCUUGAAAAGGAACACAAAACCCUGAACUUUGUUCUUUGUAUUUCAGGAUAAAAAGUGGAACAAAAACGCCACUUACCAGCUCACCUUUAGCAGAAGGAGUUGGUAUCAUAACUCCCAGUGCAUCAUGCUUAAAACUUAACAACCAAGAGUGAAAUCAAUGUGUCAGCUAAGGGCCUAUAAAAUAUAAACUAUGUGCCGCUAAGAUCAUUCAUGAAACUGCUUUAGCACAUCCUUACAUUGGUGAGAUAGAAAGCCAGUUAUGAUAUUUUUUUAAAAAAAUAAUUAUUUUCUGGCAAAUAAUAAUAAAUAUCCAAUAUAUGAGCCACAAGACAAAAUAAAUGGAUAAUAGCUGAUUUCAGACCUCAAAUCAUAUAGUGUCUAAGAUUAGUAAGUGCAACAGUGCCCUCUACAUCUCGUCAAUUCAAGCACAUCUAACAACGUAUUUAUAAAACUUUGAUGAACUUGGAAUAAAAAUAUUUAUACAGGGU